AUACGUAGGGUGCAAGCGUUAAUCGGAAUUACUGGGCGUAAAGCGUGCGCAGGCGGUUUUGUAAGACAGAGGUGAAAUCCCCGGGCUCAACCUGGGAACUGCCUUUGUGACUGCAAGGCUAGAGUACGGCAGAGGGGGAUGGAAUUCCGCGUGUAGCAGUGAAAUGCGUAGAUAUGCGGAGGAAAACCGAUGGCGAAGGCAAUCCCCUGGGCCUGUGCUAACGCUCAUGCACGAUAGCGUGGGAAGGAAACAGGAUUUGAUACCCUGGUAGUCCACGACCUAAACAGUGUCAACUGGUUGUUUGGUCGUCAUCGACUCAGUAACGAAGCUAACGUGUUAAGGUGACAGCCUGGGGAGUACGGCCGCACGGUUGAUACUCAAAUGAAUUGUCGGGG
rnacentral:rRNA from 1 species